rnacentral:rRNA from 1 species
UACGGAGGGGGCUAGCGUUGUUCGGAAUUACUGGGCGUAGAGCGCACGUAGGCGGCUUUGUAAGUUAGAGGUGAAAGCCCGGAGCUCAACUCCGGAAUUGCCUUUAAGACUGCAUCGCUAGAAUUGUGGAGAGGUGAGUGGAAUUCCGAGUGUAGAGGUGAAAUUCGUAGAUAUUCGGAAGAACACCAGUGGCGAAGGCGACUCACUGGACACAUAUUGACGCUGAGGUGCGAAAGCGUGGGGAGCAAACAGG